UACGUAGGUGGCGAGCGUUGUCCGGAUUUACUGGGCGUAAAGGGAGCGUAGGCGGACUUUUAAGUGAGAUGUGAAAUACUCGGGCUCAACUUGAGUGCUGCAUUUCAAACUGGAAGUCUAGAGUGCAGGAGUGGAGAAUGGAAUUCCUAGUGUAGCGGUGAAAUGCGUAGAGAUUAGGAAGAACACCAGUGGCGAAGGCGAUUCUCUGGACUGUAACUGACGCUGAGGCUCGAAAGCGUGGGGAGCAAACAGG
rnacentral:rRNA from 1 species